GAGAGGAUGUGGGUGUACAAUGGUGUGUCACCUCAUGAUUUGAUGUCUGUGUAUAUUGCAACAUGAGCACCACCUUAAGUCUAGACGGCCCUGUGAAGAUG